rnacentral:rRNA from 1 species
UACGGGGGGGGGCAAGCGUUGUUCGGGAUUACUGGGCGUAAAGGGCUCGUAGGCGGCCAACUAAGUCAGACGUGAAAUCCCUCGGCUUAACCGGGGAGCUGCGUCUGAUACUGGAUGGCUUGAGUUUGGGAGAGGGAUGCGGAAUUCCAGGUGUAGCGGUGAAAUGCGUAGAUAUCAGGAAGAACACCUAUGGCGAAGGCAGCUCUCUGGGACGGUACUGACGCUGAGACGCGAAAGCGUGGGGAGCGAACAGG